rnacentral:rRNA from 1 species
GCAAGUCGAGCGCAUCCUUCGGGAUGAGCGGCGGACGGGUUAGUAACGCGUGGGAACAUACCCUUUUCUACGGAAUAGCCUUUGGAAACGAAGAGUAAUACCGUAUACGCCCUUCGGGGGAAAGAUUUAUCGGUUAAGGAUUGGCCCGCGUUAGAUUAGAUAGUUGGUGGGGUAACGGCCUACCAAGUCUACGAUCUAUAGCUGGUUUGAGAGGAUGAUC